rnacentral:rRNA from 1 species
AAAUUGAAGAGUUUGAUCAUGGCUCAGAUUGAACGCUGGCGGCAGGCCUAACACAUGCAAGUCGAGCGGAAACGAGUUAUCUGAACCUUCGGGGGACGAUAACGGCGUCGAGCGGCGGACGGGUGAGUAAUGCCUAGGAAAUUGCCCUGGUGUGGGGGAUAACCAUUGGAAACGAUGGCUAAUACCGCAUAAUGCCUACGGGCCAAAGAGGGGGACCUUCGGGCCUCUCGCGUCAGGAUAUGCCUAGGUGGGAUUAGCUAGUUGGUGAGGUAAGGGCUCACCAAGGCGACGAUCCCUAGCUGGUCUGAGAGGAUGAUCAGCCACACUGGAACUGAGACACGGUCCAGACUCCUACGGGAGGCAGCAGUGGGGAAUAUUGCACAAUGGGCGCAAGCCUG